CCCGAGUCUGUGGAGGAACCUCGUACCGGGAUGCUGCGGGAGCGAUCGGCGCGUCGGAAGACCGAGGGUGGCGAUGGAGCUCGGCAGGAGGACCGGGACAAGGAUCGGGGCCAGGACCGGGACCGCGACCGGAGGAGCGAGGCGGCCCCAGGAGCUGGCACUGACCGUGCCGCGGGUCGGGCACAGGCUGCUCCCAGCUCUGCCUGCGGAACUUCGGCAAUUACCGACAGCAGUUCUUUGCCCUGCCAUCCAGAAGGUGCGGCUCAUCUGACACCAGCCAGACGGGGAAGGCCCUGCCUGGGAGGGAAACGGCUACAGGGGAGGAAACCAAGAAAUGCUCCAACCGGAUGGUGCUGCGCGAGUCAAAAGAGGGGCAAGACCGCGGGCAAAUACAGUCAGGAAAUGAGCUUUUAUUCAAUCUCUGCAGGAGCCCUUCGCAGCCACGGGCCGGAGGGAGCGCGGCCGGCUGGGCUGUGCCCGGCUGGGGACGGGCACCAAUUCAUCGCUGCCCUGCUCAGGGAGGUUUUCCGGCCCCGUCCGGGCUUCACCCAACGGCUGCAAAGGUGCUCGUGCGGCAUCCGAGCUCAUUUCCAGGGAUAAAGGAGCCAAACGAGUCCGG